rnacentral:rRNA from 1 species
UGCAGUCGAACGAUGGCUUCGGCCGUAGUGGCGCACGGGUGAGUAACACGUGGGAACCUGCCUUUCGGUUCGGAAUAACGUCUGGAAACGGACGCUAACGCCGGAUACGCCCCCCAAAGAGAUUUGGGCGGGGAAAGUUUACGCCGAGAGAGGGGCCCGCGCCGGAUUAGGUAGUUGGUGGGGUAAUGGCCUACCAAGCCGACGAUCCGUAGCUGGUCUGAGAGGAUGAUCAGCCACACUGGGACUGAGACACGGCCCAGACUCCUACGGGAGGCAGCAGUGGGGAAUAUUGGACAAUGGGCGCAAGCCUGAUCCAGCAAUGCCGCGUGAGUGAUGAAGGCCUUAGGGUUGUAAAGCUCUUUCGCACGCGACGAUGAUGACGGUAGCGUGAGAAGAAGCCCCGGCUAACUUCGUGCCAGCAGCCGCGGUAAUACGAAGGGGGCUAGCGUUGUUCGGAAUUACUGGGCGUAAAGGGCGCGUAGGCGGCCUGUUAAGUCAGAAGUGAAAGCCCCGGGCUCAACCUGGGAAUUGCUUUUGAUACUGGCAGGCUUGAGUUCCGGAGAGGAUGGUGGAAUUCCCAGUG